rnacentral:rRNA from 1 species
UACGUAGGGUGCAAGCGUUGUCCGGAAUUAUUGGGCGUAAAGAGCUCGUAGGCGGUUUGUCGCGUCGAAUGUGAAAACCCGGGGCUCAACCCCGGGCCUGCAUUCGAUACGGGCAGACUAGAGUUCGGUAGGGGAGUCUGGAAUUCCUGGUGUAGCGGUGAAAUGCGUAGAUAUCAGGAGGAACACCUGUGGCGAAAGCGGCGCACUGGACCAACAACUGACGCUGAGGCGCGAAAGCUAGGGGAGCAAACAGG